GAUGAAGAACGUAGCGAAAUGCGAUACUUGGUGUGAAUUGCAGAAUCCCGCGAAUCAUCGAGUUUUUGAACGCAAGUUGCGCCCGAAGCCAUUCGGCCGAGGGCACGUCUGCCUGGAUGUCACGCAUCGUUGCCCCCCCAAACUCCGGUUCGGGCAGGGCGGAAGUUGGCCUCCCGUGCGUGCCUGCGCGCGCGGUUAGCCCAAAAGCGAGUCCUCGGCGACGAGCGCCACGACAAUCGGUGGUUUUUUUACCCUCGUUCCUCGUCGUGCGUGCCCCGUCGCCCGAACGCGCUCUUGCGACCCUUACGCGUCGCCUCGGCGGCGCUCCCAACGCGACCCCAGGUCAGGCGGGACUACCCGCUGAGUUUAAGCAUAUCAAUAAGCGGAGGA
rnacentral:misc_RNA from 1 species